ACCUCACCAAUCCAGGACUUAAAAUGGGUUAUUAUAAACAGAACUAAUACGUAUUUUUCUGGCUUUUGCUCCCAUUUGUUAUGCAAGACUGCAUGCCCCUGUAAUGUUCCUCCUGAUUAUUUCUAGCAGCUUUAGGAGGUGGUUGACAUGUGCUCAUGCACACGUAUCGUCAGCUACCACAUAAUGCCUGCCAUUUUCUUGCCCUUUAGCUCAAGUUCUUCUCUGCUGCCAUCUGCAACUAAGGCCUGCACAGCUUAAUAUAAACUGCAAGGAAGUCUUGAUCAGUAUUUCUGCUUCUGCCAGGCUCCGUGACACUUCAGUGGAAGGACAUUACAUUGCUGGUUCCAUGGAUACACGAGGUCCAGGAGAAGGCACAGGUCCAUGAUCAACGGUUGAAUGUGAAGAUGUGGAGGCCCUGCCCAGAGCCCAGAAGUCCAGACAGCCUGGGAGACAAGAAGGAGUUGGAGCCCAAGUUGGAGAGAGAGAGGAGAAGCCUAUUGCAGCCCAGUGUGUCCUUGACCCUAUUCAGGUAACAGCAGGAUUUUUAAGCUUAGCAUACAGAGUGUAUGUGUGUACAAGUUGCAAAUAAGAAAAGCACAGGAAUAGUUACAUUUCUUAAUGAAAUAGACAAUGCCUAUUGUACAGUGUUUCUUAGACUAGAAAGUGAAUAUUAUUGAUUCUUGUUUU
rnacentral:lncRNA from 1 species